rnacentral:rRNA from 1 species
AUGAACGCUGGCGGCGUGCCCAAUACAUGCAAGUCGAGCGAACAGAUAAGGAGCUUGCUCCUUUGACGUUAGCGGCGGACGGGUGAGUAACACGUGGGUAACCUACCUAUAAGACUGGGAUAACUUCGGGAAACCGGAGCCAAUACCGGAUAAUAUUUCGAACCGCAUGGUUCGAUAGUGGAAGAUGGUUUUGCUAUCACUUAUAGAUGGACCCGCGCCGUAUUAGCUAGUUGGUAAGGUAACGGCUUACCAAGGCGACGAUACGUAGCCGACCUGAGAGGGUGAUCGGCCACACUGGAACUGAGACACGGUCCAGACUCCUACGGGAGGCAGCAGUAGGGAAUCUUCCGCAAUGGGCGAAAGCCUGACGGAGCAACGCCGCGUGAGUGAUGAAGGUCUUCGGAUCGUAAAACUCUGUUAUUAGGGAAGAACAUACGUGUAAGUAACUGUGCACGUCUUGACGGUACCUAAUCAGAAAGCCACGGCUAACUACGUG